UCGAACGUGGUCUUCGGACCUAGUGGCGCACGGGUGAGUAACAUGUGGGAAUCUGCCUAAAGGUUCGGAAUAACUGCGGGAAACUGUAGCUAAUACCGGAUGUGUCUGCAAAGAGAAAGAUUUAUCGCCUUUAGAUGAGCCCGCACUAGAUUAGCUAGUUGGUGAGGUAACUGCUCCACCAAGGCUACGAUCUAUAGCUGAUUUGAGAGGAUGAUCAGCCACACUGGGACUGAGACACGGCCCAGACUCCUACGGGAGGCAGCAGUAGGGAAUAUUGGACAAUGGGGGCAACCCUGAUCCAGCAAUGCAGCGUGAGUGACGAAGGCCUUAGGGUUGUAAAACUCUUUCAUCGGUGAGGAUAAUGACAGUAGCCGAAGAAGAAGGACCGGCUAAUUCCGUGCCAGCAGCCGCGGUAAUACGGAAGGUCCUAGCGUUGUUCGGAAUUACUGGGCGUAAAGCGCAUGUAGGCGGAACAGAAAGUUAGAAGUGAAAUCCCUGGGCUCAACCUAGGAAUUGCUUUUAAAACUUCUGUUCUGGAAUUCAGGAGAGGAAAAUGGAAUUUCCAGUGUAGAGGUGAAAUUCGUAGAUAUUGGAAGGAACACCAGUGGCGAAGGCGAUUUUCUGGACUGAUAUUGACGCUGAGAUGCGAAGGCAUGGGUAGCAAACGGGAUUAGAUACCCCGGUAGUCCAUGCAGUAAACGAUGGGUGCUAGUCGUCGGACUUUUGUUCGGUGUCGUAGCUAACGCGUUAAGCACCCCGCCUGGGGAGUACGGUCGCAAGAUUAAAACUCAAAUAAAUUGACGGGGACCCGCACAAGCAGUGGA
rnacentral:rRNA from 1 species